AUAUAAGAAUCAUCGAUUAUGAAAAGUCGAUCCUGAUUUCGACGAACAAGAUAUAAUUCAAUUCAUUUGGGACGAUUACUUGACGGCCAAGGAUGAAAACGUUCCAGUAUCUUGAGUGAAAAGGAUAUCGUGUACAGAGAAGAAGAUAGAAUACACAUACGAGAUCUGUUAUUCUACGUCUCCCUCAUGCUUCGUCUGCUACACUGCCGCUCGUUACCACUUCUUGCACAAUUAGAUCGCAACGUACACAAUACAUACAUCUAAAGGCGGCGUCGUACACAGAGGCUCGAUAUGAAUAUCGCAGGAGAGAGCGGGCGGUUUUGCGCAUCGUACGAAGGAACAUUAGGACCACCAGUGUUUCUUGCACGCACCAUGUGAUGCUUAAACGACGGUACACCAUUUGCUCGCAGCUUCACCAUCCCUGUAGAAAGCGCUUCAAUGCUACGCUGCGCAUCAGUGUC